rnacentral:tRNA from 1 species
UCCACCAUGGCGCAAUUGGCUAGCGCGUCAGACUGUUAAUCUGGAGGCUGACAGUUCGACCCUGUCUGGUGGAG